rnacentral:rRNA from 1 species
UUGAUCCUGGCUCAGAACGAACGCUGGCGGCGUGGAUAAGACAUGCAAGUCGCACGGAGAAAAGAUAGUUUACUAGCUUUUCUGAGUGGCGCACGGGUGAGUAACACGUGAGCAACCUGCCUCUUAGUGGGGGAUAGCCCUGGGAAACCGGGAUUAAUACCGCAUAUCAUCGCAAGAUGAAAGCAGCAAUGCGCUAAGAGAGGGGCUCGCGGCCUAUUAGUUAGUUGGUGAGGUAACGGCUCACCAAGGCGAUGACGGGUAGCCGGUCUGAGAGGAUGUCCGGCCACACUGGAACUGAGACACGGUCCAGACACCUACGGGUGGCAGCAGUCGAGAAUCAUUCACAAUGGGGGAAACCCUGAUGGUGCGACGCCGCGUGGGGGAAGAAGGUCUUCGGAUUGUAAACCCCUGUCACGUGGGAGCAAGCUAGCAAUAGUUGAUAGUACCACAAGAGGAAGAGACGGCUAACUCUGUGCCAGCAGCCGCGGUAAUACAGAGGUCUCAAGCGUUGUUCGGAAUCACUGGGCGUAAAGGGUACGUAGGCUGUACCAUAAGUCGGGCGUGAAAGGCAGGGGCUCAACCUCUGGAGUGCGCUUGAUACUGUGGUACUUGAGUCAU